rnacentral:rRNA from 1 species
AUUGAACGCUGGCGGCAGGCCUAACACAUGCAAGUCGAACGAGUGGCGGACGGGUGAGUAAUGUCUGGGAAACUGCCUGAUGGAGGGGGAUAACUACUGGAAACGGUAGCUAAUACCGCAUACCAUCGGAUGUGCCCAGAUGGGAUUAGCUCGUAGGUGGGGUAAAGGCUCACCUAGGCGACGAUCCCUAGCUGGUCUGAGAGGAUGACCAGCCACACUGGAACUGAGAGACGGUAAAGACACAUACGGGAGGCAGCAGUGGGGAAUAUUGAACAAUGGGCGCAAGCCUGAUGCAGCCAUGCCGCGUGUAUGAAGAAGGCCUUAUGGUUAUAAAGGACUUUCAGCGGGGAGGCGUUAACAGCAGAAGAAGCACCGGCUAACUCCGUGCCAGCGGCCGCGGUAAUUC